rnacentral:sRNA from 1 species
ACCCCCGGUAUUAUUGCUGUUAUGGGUUGCAAUCGAGCUUAGCGUUGUUCAUUUUUUUACACAACAGCCCCGUAAAAAAUAAAACACGCCUCGCUCAAGCCCGCGCUUCGCCCUUCUUCCGACGCGUAAUAAUUGCCCUAAACUGCGGCAAAAAAGGCGUUUCGGCGCCCUUUUAGGGCAA